CUACAUGAACCAGGUGGAGGAGACGCGCUACCGCGUGGACCAGAACCUGCUCAAGGAGUACUUCCCCGUGCAGGUGGUCACGCACGGGCUGCUGGGCAUCUACCAGGAGCUCCUGGGGCUGGCCUUCCACCACGAGGAGGGCGCCAGUGCCUGGCAUGAGGACGUGCGGCUCUACACCGCGAGGGACGCGGCCUCGGGGGAGGUGGUCGGGAAGGAAAGUACGGGCACGCGGCCUGCUUUGGCCUGCAGCCCGGCUGCCUGCGGCAGGAUGGGAGCCGCCAGAUCGCCAUCGCGGCCAUGGUGGCCAACUUCACCAAGCCCACAGCCGACGCGCCCUCGCUGCUGCAGCAUGACGAGGUAGAGACCUACUUCCAUGAGUUUGGCCACGUGAUGCACCAGCUCUGCUCCCAGGCGGAGUUCGCCAUGUUCAGCGGGACCCACGUGGAGCGGGACUUUGUGGAGGCGCCCUCGCAGAUGCUGGAGAACUGGGUGUGGGAGCAGGAGCCGCUGCUGCGGAUGUCGCGGCACUACCGCACAGGCAGCGCCGUGCCCCGGGAGCUCCUGGAGAAGCUCAUUGAGUCCCGGCAGGCCAAUACAGGUGCACCCGCCCCGUCCG
rnacentral:sRNA from 1 species